GGGCUGCCCCAUAGCGUGCUGUGCUCCACAGCGACAUGUGGGCUGCCCCAUAGAGUGCCCCAUAGCGAUGUGUGGGACUGCCCCAUAGCGUGCUCUGCCCCAUAGCGACGUGUGGGGCUGCCCCAUAGAGCCCUGUGCCCCAUAGCGACGUGUGGGGCUGCCCCAUAGCGUGCCUGCCCUGUAGCAAUGUGUGGGGCUGCCCCAUAGAGCGCUCUGCCCCAUAGUGACAUGUGGGGCUGCCCAUAGAGUGCCCCAUAGAGCGCUGUGCCCCAUAGCCACGUGUGGGGCUGCCCCAUGGAGCGCUGUGCCCCAUAGCGACGUGUGGGGCUGCCCCAUAGCGUGCUCUGCCCCAUAGCGACGUGUGGGGCUGCCCCAUAGAGUGCUAUGCCCCACAGCGAUGUGUGGCGCUGCCCCAUAGAGCGCUGUGCCCUAUAGCGACGUGUGGGACUGCCCCAUAGCAUGCUCUGCCCCAUAGCCAUUUGCUGGGCUGCCCCAUAGCGAUGUGUGGGGCUGCCCAUAGAGCGCUGUGCCCCCGUAACGAUGUGUGGGGCUGCCCCAUAGAGUGCUCUGCCCCAUAGAGCGCUGUGCCCCACAGCGACGUGUGGGGCUGCCCCAUAGUGUGCUCUGCCCCAUAGUGUGCUCUGCCCCAUAGUGUGCUCUGCCCCAUAGGGUGCUCUGCCCCAUAGGGUGCUGUGCCCCAUAGCGACGUGUGGGGCUGCCCCAUAGGGUGCUGUGCCCCAUAGCGACGUGUGGGGCUGCCCCAUAGGGUGCUGUGCCCCACAGCGACAUGUGGGGCUGCCCCAUAGAGUGCCCCAUAGCGAUGUGUGGGACUGCCCCAUAGCGUGCUCUGCCCCAUAACGAUGUGUGGGGCUGCCCCAUAGCGUGCUGUGCCCCAUAGCGACGUAUGGGGCUGCCCCAUAGAGCGCUGUGCCCCACAGCGCCCCACAACAUUCAAUGGAUCCCCAAAAUAAAGGCGUUUCUCCCUCUCAAA
rnacentral:lncRNA from 1 species